rnacentral:rRNA from 1 species
AGUGAACGCUGGCGGUAGGCCUAACACAUGCAAGUCGAACGGCAGCACAGUAAGAGCUUGCUCUUACGGGUGGCGAGUGGCGGACGGUUGAGGAAUACAUCGGAAUCUACUUUUUCGUGGGGGCUAACGUAGGGAAACUUACGCUAAUACCGCAUACGACCUACGGGUGAAAGCAGCGGAUCUUCGGACCUUGCGCGAUUGAAUGAGCCGAUGUCGGAUUAGCUAGUUGGCGGGGUAAAGGCCCACCAAGGCGACGAUCCGUAGCUGGUCUGAGAGGAUGAUCAGCCACACUGGAACUGAGACACGGUCCAGACUCCUACGGGAGGCAGCAGUGGGGAAUAUUGGACAAUGGGCGCAAGCCUGAUCCAGCCAUACCGCGUGGGUGAAGAAGGCCUUCGGGUUGUAAAGCCCUUUUGUUGGGAAAGAAAAGCAGCAGGUUAAUACCCCGCUGUUCUGACGGUACCCACAGAAUAAGCACCGGCUAACUUCGUG